rnacentral:rRNA from 1 species
CGCGUAGGCGGUUUGAUAAGUCAGGUGUGAAAGCCCCGAGCUUAACUUGGGAAUUGCAUCUGAAACUGUCGAACUUGAGUCCUGGAGGGGGUAGUGGAAUUCCCAGUGUAGCGGUGAAAUGCGUAGAUAUUGGGAGGAACACCUGCGGCGAAGGCGGCUACCUGGACAGUGACUGACGCUGAGGCGCGAAAGCUAGGGGAGCGAACAGGAUUAGAUUCCCUGGUAGUCC